GGGUGUUCCCGAGGUUUCAGCUCACUGUGGAAAAGAGCAGAGCAGAGGUUGCCGCGGAAAAGAAAGCUGCAGUAGAGCGGAAGAUGAGUAGAGGGGGCUCUGCCGGCAGGCUGCUGCAGAGGUGGAAGAGACUUCCCCCCUCCAUGCUGCUGCAGCGCAAGCCAAGCUCAAGGCAGCAAGACAUGGCGAAGGAGCCUUCUGCCAGCGCGCUCCCGCCAUGUGCAGGCAGCUCCCGCGGGACGAAGAAAGCAGGACAGAAGGAAGCAUCUACUCCUGCCCAGACCAGCACUGCACUCCCUGCCACAGAGGAGUCUAAGAGGGUGCUGCAGGAGCUCCGGGAAGUGUCUGCAUUGUGGAAAGAAGCAGACCACACGUGGCCCAUGCACAAGCAGCAAGUAGAGCAAGCACAGGCAGAAAGGGCGGCAUGGGAAGGCUGGAGCAUAGGGGCGGACCAGCGUCCACCCCAGCUGCUGGCCAGGCAGAGCAUGCAUGCUCCGCAUCCUCCAGCCCAGCCCAGGGGACAGCAAGUGGAGAGGAGGUGGAGGAAAGAUGUGGAUCCUCUGCCGGGAAGUAAAAUGGGAACAGCAACCAAGCUGGCACUGCAUUCUGACCUCCUUUCCCCACGAGUGGCUCAGGUGCUCCAAAGGUUGGAGCUGCACCUCCAUCAGCAAGAGGCUUUUGCCAGCACAGCGGAAAGAAACCGGCAGAAGCUGGAGCUGAAGCGGCAGCUCCCCUGUGCUCGAUGCUCGCGUCGCUCCAGAGGGGAAGGUGCAGCCAAUGGUGGUGACCGCGGUGGAGCUCUCGGCAAGGGGGCUGGGAAGCUGUCCAGAUUUCCACCUGUGAAUGGAAGAUCGUAGAAUCAAAGACUCAUUGAAUGGCCUAGGUUGAAAAGGGCAUUGAAGGUCGUCUAGUUUCAACCCACCUGCUAUGUGCGGGGUCGCCGACCACCAGACUGGGCUGCCCAGAGCCAUAUCCAGCCUGGCAUUGAAUGCCUCCAGGGAUGGGGCAUCCCCCACCUCUCGGCAAGCUGUUCCAGCACGUCACCACCCUCCGCGUGAAGAACUGCUAACAUCUAACCGAACUCUGCCUCCCUUCCACAGUUUAAAACCAUUCCCCCUUGUCCUGUCACUAUCCAGCCUCGUCAACGGCCGUUCC
rnacentral:lncRNA from 1 species